UUCUCGGAAAAAAAAAAUGAAUGCAUGAAGAAUAGCCAGGGGAGACUGCUAUUAAUUUUCCCUGGGGUGUGGAGAACGGACGGAAGGAGGAGGGAUUCAGACAGUAGGUCCAACCAUGCGAACGACAGCGUCACUUGGCAAAGAACAUCCCUUCAGUCCUCGGAGACGAUGACACUGCAGGAACACCUCACCUCCUCACAGUUCCGGAAGCCUUAUAAGAAACCUGGCUGGACUCUAAGUUCACUAUACCUUUAAAAGCUUCCAGUGACUGCCUGCCCUAUUCAGGUAUAUUGAAAUCCUGAUACCCAGUAACUUGGAAGCAGAAGAAAGGCUCUGGGGAACAGAAAAAGAAAAGGAAAAUGAAAAAGAAAAGGAAAAGACCAUAUCCUGAAGACAGCGAUUUGUUUAGAAGUGUAAAUACAGACAGCAAACCAGUGGCUGACAGACGCUGAGAUUUUAAUGGCUGUCAUGAACAUAAAUGAUGUGAGUCAGAGGCAAGCUCAAGAUUUGCUAAGCCCAUAUCAGGGGUCACAAGGAUGCGAGUGGACAUAUGGAGAUGGGCAAGUGAAUAUGGUGCAUUAUGUGAGCCUCCCAAAUAAUCCACAAAAAUAUUAUAUUGGCAAAAAAGGAGAGAGAGAAAAGAAGAAAACUGUGGUCAAAGACAACAGAAAUUAAACUCAUGUCAAUUUAUCUCUGUAAGUGUCUGUGAAGAGAUAGGCACUAAUCAGAAAUUUUGACUUUGGGUCCAUGGAAGUACACAAGAGCUGGUGAAUCAUGGAGGCCUUUGAGGGGUUUGAAAGGAGGUUCUUGGGAAAUAACGUUGCUGGGUAGUGAUUGGAAGAGGAGACUCUGUACUUGAAUUUGACUUGAAGUGAAUUAGGGUGACGAUCUUUAACAGGUGGCCCUUAUAUUUGGGAAUGGAAUGAGACUUAGAACUGAUCGUGAGAAAUAAAAAGGAUUAUAGAUGUCAAAACAGGUUAUGCAUCCAUUAUAUUAUUCAGCUGGUUUUAAGAAAAUAAACUCAGUGAAAUAGUAUUAUGCUUCAGUCAAUAGUUGUUAUUUAAAAAUUCUGAUGGUAAAAAAUAUAGUUCCAGGUCUGGAGAAAUGGCUCAGCGGUUAAGAGCACUGAUUGCUCUUUCAGAGGUCCUGAGUUCAAUUCCCAGGAACCACAUGGUAGCUCACAAUCUAAAAUGGGAUCCAAUACCCUCUCUGAUAUGCCUGAAGACAGCUAAAAUGUACUCAUAUAAAUACAAGAAAUCUUUAAAAAAAUAUAGUUCCAGACUGGACAUUUUGACUAUGCUGUGUUUUGUAUUACAGAUGAAGUGACUGGAGUCCUUACUGAUCAUUGAUAGGAACAAAGCAAUAUUAAUUAAUUAAUUAGUUAGUUAGUUAGUUAGUUAGAGACAGACUUUUCCUUUGUAGCCCUGGCUCUCCUGUAUCUCACUAUAUACUGCAGACUGACUUUGAAUUUACAACAUCCCUCUGUCCUCCAUCCCCCAUGUGCUAGAAUUACAGUUACAUGCUAUCAUGCAUACCUAUAAUCACUAAAUACAAUUCUUGAGAUUAUAAUCUGUAAUAUGGAGCUAUGAAACAUCACUACAUUAUGUUCUCAGCUUCUCAUAAAUUUGUAAG
rnacentral:lncRNA from 1 species